ACCCUCACGCAAAAUCAGUGGUUCGAACGCCGUGUGAUUGGAUUUUUCUUUCAAUUUUUCCUCUCUAAAUGAAUUUCCUCAUUUCUAACAGAUCCAUUUGCUUUUCCUAUCUUCAUUUCCCAGCUCCCAAUAUUCUAUUUCACCGGCAAAAUCCAAAUCUCAUAAUCCAUUACUAGAAGAGAUGCCUUCCAAAAACAUCCAUAUUCUGUUCCACCGCAGAUUACAAUCUGACGAACUCCGCAAGAUACGGCGGCUGGGAUGAUAAUGGACUUGAUCAAAACAAGAAACAUCACCCAUUAGAUUUGAAUACACUGAAAGGUCUUGUGCAAUUAUAGAAGUGCAGAAACAUUCUCAAUAAUUCAACAAUCACUUUCACUUGGAUGCUUUCCAAGAGUAAAAGUGGUUCAUACAUCAGAUAAGUACGAAGGGCAAGUUUAUGUUCUAGAGAUAAAUAUGGAAUAGCUGUGGUUUUUGUGAUGACACUCACAUCCUCUUUCCUAGUACUCAUAAUGAUUACCUAAAGAUGGAUUACAUUAACUUGCAACUUUUCAGACCCAUCUAGGACAGACAAAGCAUGGAGUUAAGGUUUUGCCAGAAUCCAUUCGAGCAGCGAAGCCAUAUUUGUGGCAAUUCAUUGAUGUAUAAGCAUUUUUGUAGGUUUGGUAGAAAAAUUUCUGAUAUAAAUGUAGUUAUUUAAAUAGUUUGUUCGUAACAAACCAUAUAUGUACCAACACUUAAAGCGAUAUUAUAAAGUGUAUGUUUCUUUAUAUUAAAGUGUUCACCGUUUUUUUCA